rnacentral:rRNA from 1 species
AUUCCAGCUCCAAUAGCGUAUGUUAAAGUUGUUGCGGCUAAAAAGCUCGUAGUUGGAUUUCUAGAUGAGAGGAGUGGUCCACUCUAUGAGUGUGUAUCUACUUCCGCUCGUCUAUCCGCUCUGCAAACGUGUCUGCGCUUGACUGCGUGGCGCGGAGGUAGGGCCUUUUACUUUGAGGAAAUUAGAGUGUUCACGGCAGGCAAUCGCCUUGAAUAUAUUAGCAUGGAAUAAUAACAUAGGAUCUUGGUUCUAUUUUGUUGGUUUCUAGGGCUAAGAUAAUGAUUAAUAGGGACAAUUGGGGGCAUUCGUAUCGCGGUGUCAGGGGUGGAAUUCUUGGAUUACUGCGCGACGAACUACUGCGAAAGCAUUUGCCAAGGAUGUUUUCAUCA